rnacentral:rRNA from 1 species
AUCAUUCAGUUUGGGCACUCUAGCGAGACUGCCGGUAAUAACCGGAGAAGUGGGGAUGACGUCAAAUCAUCAUGCCCUUAUGACCUGGGCUACACACGUGCUACAAUGGUUGGUACAACGAGUUGCGAGUCGGUGACGGCGAGCUAAUCUCUUAAAGCCAAUCUCAGUUCGGAUUGUAGGCUGCAACUCGCCUACAUGAAGUCGGAAUCGCUAGUAAUCGCGGAUCAGCACGCCGCGGUGAAUACGUUCCCGGGCCUU